AUAUAUACACUGCGCAGUCGAUCAGGGUUUAUACACUCACUAAUCGUCAACAGGACACUUCGUAUACAACUGCCACUGACAUAUCUGUAAUGGCUAAAGGCUACAUGACGAACUGCGAUCCUAUUCUAACCAAGCAGAUGGGACGAUUCCUCCGACAAGUGGGGGAUGAAAUGUACUUCGAUACGCUAAAGAAACGAAAUAUUCACGAUGGUGCUCAAAAUCAAUCCAGUCCACCAAGACUUCUCAAGUUUGGAAUGCGAGUUACACACAUCCUGUCACAGCUGUGGGAGUACACAGGGGGUUAAUAAGGUGACCAUUAGGCCUGCCGAACGCUGCCGGAUAACGACAUAUGGAUCACCUUGCAUCCGAAAAGCCUGGUAUCAUCGACAAAAGACCUAAGGAAAGACGAUGAAGUGACCGGAGGAUGCGGUAUGCAUUGAACGUUCCGUACCUGUGAUGACUACUAUGAUAUCCGCAUAGAAUCAACAGGCCGCAUAAGCAACAGAAAAUCGUCUAUUCUUUACCGGAGAGACCUGACCUUCUUCUGUGGAACAUUAGUCUGUGAAAAAUUAUCAAUUGAUAUUUGUGGAAGUUUCUUGUUCUUAAAUAGUGAUCACAGAUGGUAGACUACGAUAGAUACAAUGCCGCUAGUAACACAAUAUGUGAUUGUGAACAGUAAACGGCUAAUGAGUAAUGUGUAUUGUUACACAUACAAAUCCCGGACUGACACACGACAAUCUGAGUAAUAACAUUACGAAGACUUCUUUCAAGUACGGAAUGAAUAUUAACACUGUAUCGAUAUCCAUGUCUAGACAAUCACUAUUGAAUUAUUGUGCUAGGUAUCAUUAUGUGCUUGAUAACGGAAUAAAAUAUAGAAAUCGAG